AGCGGCGGACGGGUGAGUAACGCGUGGGUAACCUGCCUUACACAGGGGGAUAACAGUUAGAAAUGACUGCUAAUACCGCAUAACCCGCUAGGGCCGCAUGGCCCGGACGGAAAAGAUUUUAUCGGUGUAAGAUGGACCCGCGUCUGAUUAGCUGGUUGGUGAGGUAACGGCUCACCAAGGCGACGAUCAGUAGCCGACCUGAGAGGGUGAUCGGCCACAUUGGGACUGAGACACGGCCCAAACUCCUACGGGAGGCAGCAG
rnacentral:rRNA from 1 species